UAGCAGCCAAAGAGCUGCCGGGGACAUGU
rnacentral:sRNA from 1 species